AAACUCAGGCUAAUACCGCAUACGCCCUACCGGGGGAAAGCAGGGGAUCUUCGGAACCUUGCGCUAUUAGAUGAGCCUGCGUCGGAUUAGCUUGUUGGUGGGGUAAAGGCCUACCAAGGCGACGAUCCGUAGCUGGUUUGAGAGGACGAUCAGCCACACUGGGACUGAGACACGGCCCAGACUCCUACGGGAGGCAGCAGUGGGGAAUCUUGGACAAUGGGCGCAAGCCUGAUCCAGCCAUGCCGCGUGAGUGAUGAAGGCCUUAGGGUCGUAAAGCACUGUGGGGAGAGACGAAACAGCGCAGUAGGAAAUGACUGCGCCUUGACGGUACCUCCUUAGCAAGCACCGGCUAACUCUGUG
rnacentral:rRNA from 1 species